rnacentral:rRNA from 1 species
UACGGGGGGGGCAAGCGUUGUUCGGAAUUACUGGGCGUAAAGGGCUCGUAGGCGGCCAACUAAGUCAGACGUGAAAUCCCUCGGCUUAACCGGGGAACUGCAUCUGAUACUGGAUGGCUUGAGUUCGGGAGAGGGAUGCGGAAUUCCAGGUGUAGCGGUGAAAUGCGUAGAUAUCAAGAGGAACACCAGUGGCGAAGGCGAGUCCCUGGACAAUACCUGACACUGAGGCACGAAAGCCAAGGGAGCAAACAGG